UACCUGGUUGAUCCUGCCAGUAGUCAUAUGC
rnacentral:ncRNA from 31 species